rnacentral:rRNA from 1 species
GGCGAACGGGUGAGUAACACGUGGGCAACCUGCCCCCUCAACUCCUGGGAUAACGCCGGGAAACCGGCGCUAAUACCGGAUACGACCAGAAGCGACAUCUCUUCUGGUGGAAAGAACUUCGGUGAGGGAUGGGCCCGCGGCCUAUCAGCUAGUUGGUGAGGUUAAACGGGCCCACCCAAAGGCGACGACGGGUAGCCGGCCUGAGAGGGCGACCGGCCACACUGGGACUGAGACACGGCCCAGACUCCUACGGGAGGCAGCAGUGGGGAAUAUUGCGCAAUGGGCGAAAGCCUGACGCAGCGACGCAGCGUGAGGGACGAAGGCCUUAGGGUUGUAAAGCUCUUUUACCCGAGAUGAUAAUGACAGUAUCGGGAGAAUAAGCUCCGGCUAACUCCGUG